rnacentral:rRNA from 1 species
GUGGGGAAUCUUAGACAAUGGGGGCAACCCUGAUCUAGCCAUGCCGCGUGAGUGAUGAAGGCCUUAGGGUCGUAAAGCUCUUUCGCUGGGGAAGAUAAUGACGGUACCCAGUAAAGAAACCCCGGCUAACUCCGUGCCAGCAGCCGCGGUAAUACGGAGGGGGUUAGCGUUGUUCGGAAUUACUGGGCGUAAAGCGCGCGUAGGCGGAUUGGAAAGUUGGGGGUGAAAUCCCGGGGCUCAACCCUGGAAUGGCCUUCAAAACUCCCAGUCUUGAGGUCGAGAGAGGUGAGUGGAAUUCCGAGUGUAGAGGUGAAAUUCGUAGAUAUUCGGAGGAACACCAGUGGCGAAGGCGGCUCUCUGGCCCUGAUCUGACGCUAAGGCGCGAAAGCGUGGGGAGCAAACAGGAUUAGAUACCCCAGUAGUCC